AAGAGAAAAAGGGUGAACCUCUUGUGUUCAUAAUAAACACCCCCCCUCUCUCUCUCUAAAAAAUACUCUAGUCUCUUCUCUCUAAUUUUUCUCUUUUCUAUGUUUUUGACUAUUCCUUCUCCAAAAUGAAAAAGAGAUAGAUUGGUUUUGAAAAAUAUUUUUUACCAUUGAUGUUGUACUCAAAAGCUUGUGAAGUUUUGGAGUUUAAGUCUAACUUAAAAUUCUGGACCAAAGCUUGUCUUUUAACAAAGAGGAAGAACCAUUGGCUGUAGGAGGAGUCACAUUUGAGGCUCUCUAAUCAGGUAUAUUUUAUUAUAUUAAUUAUUAGUUUAUAAAUUUUGGUAUAAACUUCUUUUGAUUGAUGAAAUUGAAUGCGAAAGAACCUGAUUUUCAUUUCCGCUGCGUCUCAGGUAUGGUUUGGGAUCUCCAAAUCCUAUUAGUGGUAUCAGAGCCCCAGGCUUUCCCAUUCAAUUUCAUCAAUUUUUUUUAUUCUAAUUUACAAUCAUAGAAAUUUUUGUUUGAAUGGGAUUGAGAUUCCUAUACCCUAAUUGGGUUUUGGAAACCCGAAUUGGGAAGGCUAAUGUGAGAAGUCUUUCAUCUAAAAGGAUUUUUUUUUUCGUUAGAAAAAAAAAGAGAAAAUAACAGAAUACAUGUAUUACAUAUAAUGAUAUGUAUACAUAUAUAAAUAUUAAUGUGUCAUAUAUGAUGAUACAUGUACAUAUAUAAUGAUGUAUGUAAAUUUGUAUAUAAAGACGUACAAAUUUUGAUUGGAUUUCUCUUUGAUCAGAUUGUUAGCCUUGUAUUAUUUUCCUUUUGAUUAUAAUUUUUAUAAUUUAACACAUGUAAUUAUGGGAUUGGCUUUAAAUGGACAUGGAUGGCAUAUUACAUGAUGAUGUGAUUUUAUACAUGGGAUGUAUGUAAUAUAUUUGCAUUAAAUGUGAAUGGUCAGGUGCAUUAAGGAAUUGAUAUAAGUUUCUUUUAUCUCCUCUCUUUCUCACUCCCUCCUUUCUUCUUGAGAAUAUGUACUCCCCUCCCAUGGGCAGCCCAAUUGGUGGGUUGGUUUCCUAUCGGAGGUUUCUUAUUUGAUUAUACCAAAGUUUAUCAAUGUAAUUAUAGAGGAGAUAGAUUUUUCCCUUUUUGUGAUGAUGAUGAUCCUCACUUUGAUUCCAAAGCAAUAGCAAGAUGAUGAUCACAGGCUUUGAUGGAAGAUUGAAGAUUGAAGAUUGAAGAUGAUUAAGACAAUGUUUGGAGCUUAGAGACUACACCUUGUGCAUGCAAGAUGCACUCUUAAUGCAGCCUUUAAUUUAAUUUAUGCAUAACAUAUAAUUGCAUGAAUAAUUUAACAUGCACCAUGUCAUGAAGAUGAUAACUUUAUUGGAAAUACUUAGGAGGCCAUGAAUGUGAAAUUCUCUCUGGUAUACAAGACUGGUUUAGUCUUACGUUCUCUGCUAGCCUCUUUCAAUUCCUUCUGCAUGACAUACAAGCUCAGUGAGAAGGAGUUGCAAUUGGCUGAACUUGCCCAAGCAUUGGUAGAGGCAGAGAGGUCACUUAAAAAGGAAAAACCAGAGGUGAAUACCACAGAGAAGAAGAAGUCUGCUUCCAAGAAGAAGCGGAACAAGAAAAAGGGCAACAAAGGGAAUACUUCCCUGAAGCCUAAUCCUAGGAACAAGGUGGGCAAGAAAUCUGAAAAAAGAAAUUGCCACUAUUGUGGAAAAUUGGGUUACUAGAGGACGAACUAUCGUGGUUACCUGGCAUCCAUUAAGAUGAAGAAGUCAAAGGAAGACAAGGACGCUUCAAAGGAAGGGGUUUAAAGAGACGAGGAAACCAGAAGGAGAAGAGGUGCAUUUACUUAUGGGCACCGGAGCUGAAGUUAAGACAAAAGUUGUUGGAACUUUUAAAUUAGUUUUUAAUUCCAAUGUUUUAGUAUUAAAGGAAUGUUAUUAUGUACCCUCUUUUAAGAGGAAGAUAAUUUCCGUUUCAAAAUUAGUUUUGGAUGGAUAUCAUUUUCCUUUAAUUCUAAGUUAAUUAUUCGUUUUAAUAA